rnacentral:rRNA from 1 species
GACGAACGCUGGCGGCGUGCUUAACACAUGCAAGUCGAACGGAAAGGCCCUGCUUUUGUGGGUUGCUCGAUUGGCGAACGGGUGAGUAACACGUGAGUAACCUGCCCUUGACUUUGUGAUAACUUCAGGAAACUGGGGCUAAUACCGGAUAUGAGCUCCUGCUGCAUGUGGGGGGUUGGAAAGUUUGGGCGGUUGUGGAUGGACUCGCGGCUUAUCAGCCUGUUUGUGGGGUAGUUGCUUACCAAGGCUUUGACGGCUAGCCUGCCUGAGAGGGUUAACGGCCACCAUGGGACUGAGAUACGGCGCAGAAUGCUACGGGAGGCAGCAGUGGGGAGUAUUGCACAAUGGGCGCAAGCCUGAUGCAGCAACGCCGCGUGCGGGAUGCCGGCCUUCGGGUUGUAAACCGCUUUCGCAUGUGACGAAGCGUGAGUGACGGUAAUGGGUAAAGAAGCAACGGCUAACUACGUG